rnacentral:rRNA from 1 species
AGUGAACGCUGGCGGUAGGCCUAACACAUGCAAGUCGAACGGCAGCACAGUAAGAGCUUGCUCUUACGGGUGGCGAGUGGCGGACGGGUGAGGAAUACAUCGGAAUCUACUUUUUCGUGGGGGAUAACGUAGGGAAACUUACGCUAAUACCGCAUACGACCUACGGGUGAAAGCAGGGGAUCUUCGGACCUUGCGCGAUUGAAUGAGCCGAUGUCGGAUUAGCUAGUUGGCGGGGUAAUGGCCCACCAAGGCGACGAUCCGUAGCUGGUCUGAGAGGAUGAUCAGCCACACUGGAACUGAGACACGGUCCAGACUCCUAAGGGAGGCAGCAGUGGGGAAUAUUGGACAAUGGGCGCAAGCCUGAUCCAGCCAUACCGCGUGGGUGAAGAAGGCCUUCGGGUUGUAAAGCCCUUUUGUUGGGAAAGAAAAGCAGCAGGUUAAUACCCCGCUGUUCUGACGGUACCCAAAGAAUAAGCACCGGCUAACUUCGUG